rnacentral:lncRNA from 1 species
UCCCAUCUGCAGCAGAGCUGAACUUUGGGAAAGUUGAGCAGCUUUUCUGAUUGCUCUGGGAAGGUAAAUGUGUUUGAAGUGCAAACGUGCGAGCGUGUUUUGGGGAUCCGAGCUUUGGCUCUUGCAAACUGGUAGCAAAGAGGUGUGUUUUCUUUUACUUUUCCUGCUCUUUCUUCUUUUUAGUGGUUCCUAUAAAUGCAAUCCUUCAAGUGUGUGUGCUGUAAAAGACUGCUCCCCCUUCUCUCCCCACCCUCUCCUUUAAGGCUGAAAAUGAGACUCGUUCGUGAAUAAUGAACUCUGUAUGUUAUCAAGCAAAUCUUGUGGCUGCUUCAUGUGAUCGCUUCCAGUCUCAGCAGAGAUGUUAUUGCCUUUAAUACAUUCACAGCUUUUUAUGGAAAAUGAAUUGCAAAACUGCUAGCAGAGGGGUGAGGGAAAGCAAUUUGAUUUGAUAACAACAUGUUUCAGCGUAGCAGACUGUUGUGCUUUUAAAUUUUUAAGUGCUUUCUACUUUUUCUUCCUGCAUUUGAAGACGUCUUUAGAGGUCUUGAAACAACCUUAGGAAGAGGAAAGAGGGUCAUUUUUCUUCUGCGACUUUGUGCUGCCUAAUGGAGAUUUUUUUUUCUGAGCGUAGGCCACACAGCCAAGGAACAAAAUGACCACAGAGCAAGAAGUGAAAUGGACUCAAAUAAUUAGAAACUGGCUGUAGUUAAUGAUUGUUUGCAGCAGGUCAGAAGCAUUUGGUUAGGUUUUGUCCUCCUGUGUUCUUUAGGGCGGUCGUAUUGCUUAUUAAAAGUGAACAUUUUGUUUUCUAAGUGUGAAAAGUAUACUCAGCCUUCAGCAUUUGAUUCAGAUGGCUUUUAGAGACUUGAGAUAAUUAAAUAACUAGAUAUGCAAAUGCAUAGUCCUUGUGUCUCCAAGCCAUGUGCUUACUGUUUGCUUAUUUUAAGGUGGGAAUUGAUUUUCUUUGCAGAGGAUCUCAGGAGGAGAAAGGGUACCAGGUCAGCCACGAUGCUCCUGGUUAUGGAGUGGGAAGUGCACAAUCCAGGAGCAAAGUACAAUAAUUGGCUGUGCUGCUGCUCGCCACUCACGGCUAAAAGCUCUAUGGGAAAGAAACAAAACCCUCAGCAUCUCGUCUUUGCAGAGGAUGUUCCAAGUGGGAAGCAGCUCUUUGGACACGGAGCCCGUAUCUUAACACCCCUAUCUGUGAUCCAUCUGUAACAUCUGCUGAAUGGGUACCAGCCAGAUACUCCCCCAUCUCUGUUUUCAUCCUUCAUCUUUCCAGGUAUUCCCAAAGCAAAUCUACAGCUGCUCACCGACUGAAUUUAAAUCCUUGUGUAUUUUAAACAAAGAGAAGGGGUCUGUGUGCUCCUUGGGAACACCUGGGCCUUUCCAAGGUUUCAUUACCUUCAGAGUAAGCAUUUCUUUGCAAUGAAGGCAUGUCCUCUGAAACCAGCCGCAGUCGAUAGGCAGA